GUGCCAUCUAUACAUUUCUCCUCUCUCAUUGUUUGGCGGACUCACCUCCCCAACAAUCCUCCGUUCUGAAGGCACUAGCAAUGAGAAGGCGGAGCAAGCCAUGGCUGCACUGACGCAUGCAACUGAAAUGCAUCCCCAUCAUCCCCGCCAUGAUAUACAUAUUGAAUACGAAGGUUGAGAUGACGAAUAACGAAAUCGAAGCAAAGAUUUGUGUUGGCGCAAAUCGCCACAUUUGCAGAGAUAAAAUAGCUCGCCCAUGGACAGCACCAAACAACUUGAAACCUGUGAGCGAAUGAAUCCUGGAAAUUGCUCACACAUGUAGUGCUAUUAUCUACUCAGUUUCCCAUGGAAAUGUCCGUGUGCGUGGGUUAGAUUUGGUUGGUUAAGCCUUGUGCACGCUUGGAACCUGGAUGUCUUCCUAGCCGGCUAAAUUUUACUCCUUUUUUGCAGUACUAAUAACUUUGCUCUCUGGCAUCAAUAAUGCGGUGCAUGGGAAAGGCAGCGCAAUGUGCCGGCCUCAGGAGCCUGCAAACCUUGUAUUGUACGUUCUGCUGGUGUCGAGUGCAGCAUUAGUUGGAUCCCUUGAGGCUCUCAAAUUAAAACCAAAAUCUUUUGCUUAGUUUCUUCUGCAUUGUAUUUGUCCUACCGUUGUUCAUAUAUUAAUCUUCAUGACUGCUGCCUGUAUGACGAGGAAGGUCAACAUGUUAAUUUUCCAUAAUCU